AUACGGAGGAUGCGAGCGUUAUCCGGAUUUAUUGGGUUUAAAGGGAGCGUAGGCGGGAGCUUAAGUCAGCGGUUAAAUGGUGCGGCUCAACCGUGCCCUGCCGUUGAAACUGGGUUUCUUGAGAGUGCAAGAGGCGGAUGGAAUUCAUGGUGUAGCGGUGAAAUGCUUAGAUAUCAUGAAGAACUCCGAUUGCGAAGGCAGUCCGCUGGGGCACGUCUGACGCUGAUGCUCGAAGGUGCGGGAAUCAAACAGGAUUAGAUACCCUGGUAGUCCGCACGGUAAACGAUGAUUACCCGCUGUCGGCGGCGGACAGUCGGCGGCCAAGCGAAAGCGAUAAGCGCCCCACCUGGGGAGUACGGUCGCAAGGCUGAAACUCAAAUGAAUUGACGGGG
rnacentral:rRNA from 1 species